GACGAACGCUGGCGGCGUGCUUAACACAUGCAAGUCGAACGAAAAGGCCCUGCUUUUGUGGGGUGCUCGAGUGGCGAACGGGUGAGUAACACGUGAGUAACCUGCCCUUGACUUUGGGAUAACUUCAGGAAACUGGGGCUAAUACCGGAUAGGAGCUCCUGCUGCAUGGUGGGGGUUGGAAAGUUUCGGCGGUUGGGGAUGGACUCGCGGCUUAUCAGCUUGUUGGUGGGGUAGUGGCUUACCAAGGCUUUGACGGGUAGCCGGCCUGAGAGGGUGACCGGCCACAUUGGGACUGAGAGACGGCCCAGACUCCUACGGGAGGCAGCAGUGGGGAAUAUUGCAUAAUGGGCGGAAGCCUGAUGCAGCAACGCCGCGUGCGGGAUGACGGCCUUCGGGUUGUAAACCGCUUUCGCCUGUGACGAAGCGUGAGUGACGGUAAUGGGUAAAGAAGCACCGGCUAACUACGUG
rnacentral:rRNA from 1 species